UGCGGGGUGGAGCAGUCUGGUAGCUCGUCGGGCUCAUAACCCGAAGGUCGUUGGUUCGAAUCCGGCCCCCGCUACCA
rnacentral:tRNA from 2 species